rnacentral:rRNA from 1 species
UGGGGAAUAUUGCACAAUGGGCGAAAGCCUGAUGCAGCAACGCCGCGUGAGUGAUGAAGGUCUUCGGAUUGUAAAGCUCUGUCUUUUGGGACGAUAAUGACGGUACCAAAGGAGGAAGCCACGGCUAACUACGUGCCAGCAGCCGCGGUAAUACGUAGGUGGCGAGCGUUGUCCGGAUUUACUGGGCGUAAAGGGUGCGUAGGCGGAUGUUUAAGUGAGAUGUGAAAUACCCGGGCUUAACUUGGGUGCUGCAUUUCAAACUGGAUAUCUAGAGUGCAGGAGAGGAGAAUGGAAUUCCUAGUGUAGCGGUGAAAUGCGUAGAGAUUAGGAAGAACACCAGUGGCAAAGGCGAUUCUCUGGACUGUAACUGACGCUGAGGCACGAAAGCGUGGGUAGCAAACAGGAUUAGAUACCCUGGUAGUCCACGCCGUAAAACGAUGAGUACUAGGUGUAGGAGGUAUCGACCCCUUCUGUGCCGCAGUAAACACAUUAAGUACUCCGCCUGGGAAGUACGAUCGCAAGAUUAAAAC